rnacentral:rRNA from 1 species
AGAGUUUGAUCCUGGCUCAGGACGAACGCUGGCGGCGCGCCUAACACAUGCAAGUCGAACGAGCGAGAGAGAGCUUGCUUUCUCGAGCGAGUGGCGAACGGGUGAGUAACGCGUGAGGAACCUGCCUCAAAGAGGGGGACAACAGUUGGAAACGACUGCUAAUACCGCAUAAGCCCACAGCUCGGCAUCGAGCAGAGGGAAAAGGAGCAAUCCGCUUUGAGAUGGCCUCGCGUCCGAUUAGCUAGUUGGUGAGGUAACGGCCCACCAAGGCGACGAUCGGUAGCCGGACUGAGAGGUUGAACGGCCACAUUGGGACUGAGACACGGCCCAGACUCCUACGGGAGGCAGCAGUGGGGAAUAUUGCACAAUGGGGGAAACCCUGAUACAGCGACGCCGCGUGGAGGAAGAAGGUCUUCGGAUUGUAAACUCCUGUUGUUGAGGAAGAUAAUGACGGUACUCAACAAGGAAGUGACGGCUAACUACGUGCCAGCAGCCGCGGUAAAACGUAGGUCACAAGCGUUGUCCGGAAUUACUGGGUGUAAAGGGAGCGCAGGCGGGAAGGCAAGUUGGAAGUGAAAUCCAUGGGCUCAACCCAUGAACUGCUUUCAAAACUGUUUUUCUUGAGUAGUGCAGAGGUAGGCGGAAUUCCCGGUGUAGCGGUGGAAUGCGUAGAUAUCGGGAGGAACACCAGUGGCGAAGGCGGCCUACUGGGCACCAACUGACGCUGAGGCUCGAAAGUGUGGGUAGCAAACAGGAUUAGAUACCCUGGUAGUCCACACUGUAAACGAUGAUUACUAGGUGUUGGAGGAUUGACCCCUUCAGUGCCGCAGUUAACACAAUAAGUAAUCCACCUGGGGAGUACGACCGCAAGGUUGAAACUCAAAGGAAUUGACGGGGGCCCGCACAAGCAGUGGAGUAUGUGGUUUAAUUCGACGCAACGCGAAGAACCUUACCAAGUCUUGACAUCCUGCGACGCACAUAGAAAUAUGUGUUUCCUUCGGGACGCAGAGACAGGUGGUGCAUGGUUGUCGUCAGCUCGUGUCGUGAGAUGUUGGGUUAAGUCCCGCAACGAGCGCAACCCUUAUGGUCAGUUACUACGCAAGAGGACUCUGGCCAGACUGCCGUUGACAAAACGGAGGAAGGUGGGGAUGACGUCAAAUCAUCAUGCCCCUUAUGACCUGGGCUACACACGUAAUACAAUGGCGGUCAACAAAGGGAUGCAAAGCCGCGAGGCAGAGUGAACCCCAAAAAGCCGUCCCAGUUCGGAUCGCAGGCUGCAACCCGCCUGCGUGAAGUCGGAAUCGCUAGUAAUCGUGGGUCAGCAUACCACGGUGAAUACGUUCCCGGGCCUUGCACACACCGCCCGUCA